GGCUUAUCCAAACCUUUUAGUAGAGGAGUGGAAUAAUUAGUUGGAUUCAUGACACUAGCAGACUUUGACUGGGCAAUCAAACAAGGACACUUAUUUCCUAUUUCUCUAAAACCUCUUAUAACCAGAGCAUUCCAGUGGACUGAGCCACCAGCAGCCUGGUUCAUUCCAUAUGUAACAAUCAGGAGCUAGUGCACCUAAUUAAUAAACAGAUGGCAAUAACCCUGUGGGUCUUUAAGUCAGUAAGGGCUUUUGUGCUCCACUGAUUAUGUCACAAUAUCCUUUCUUAAGGGAUGCAUAUGCCAAGACUGUAUAAUGGCACAGCAGAUGCUUCAUCUUGGUUUCAGCAAGGCAGGAAGCCUGCCAAGAUCCCAAGUUUCCACCAAGAAGAAAUAUCUACAAGUGUUAAUGUCACUUGUUAUGUCAUUAUGAAUCCAUUCUAAAGAACUAGCUACUUUGCUUUGUGGCAAGCUGAAUCAGACUGGAUAGAGAACUCUCUGAAGAAGAAGGCUUGUUACCUGCAGCAUCUGUUAUAAUUUCACUGCUAUAGGAUGGCAGAAAAUAAGGAAGAGAAGCCGAGAAGCCUCAUCAUUUUCUAUCACAACCUAUAGAAUCCACUACUUCAGUAGACUCUUGACUAUGACUGAAUAACAUCAUCAACAGACUACUGAGUUUACUUGAUACAAGCAUACCACCUCCAGAGUCAUAAGUGACAAGUACUGUUAAUGCCAGAAAGCUCUAGAAACUGAGUGUGUGCCUAGUUCCUUCCUUAGCUGUUCAGGGAGAAAAUUCCAUUGAGUCACGUUAAACAUCCUUUUAUAGGCAUU
rnacentral:lncRNA from 1 species